rnacentral:rRNA from 1 species
CCUACGGGUGGCUGCAGUGGGGAAUAUUGGACAAUGGGGGCAACCCUGAUCCAGCCAUGCCGCGUGAGUGAAGAAGGCCCUAGGGUUGUAAAACUCUUUCACCGGUGAAGAUAGUGACGGUAGCCGGAGAAGAAGCCCCGGCUAACUCCGUGCCAGCAGCCGCGGUAAUACGGAGGGGGCUAGCGUUGUUCGGAAUCACUGGGCGUAAAGCGCGCGUAGGCGGUUUGCCAAGUUAGGCGUGAAAGCCCGGGGCUCAACCCCGGAGGUGCGUCUAAAACUGGUUGACUAGAGUCCGGGAGAGGGUGGUGGAAUUCCCAGUGUAGAGGUGAAAUUCGUAGAUAUUGGGAAGAACACCGGUGGCGAAGGCGACCACCUGGUCCGGUACUGACGCUGAGGUGCGAAAGCGUGGGGAGCAAACAGGAUUAGAUACCCGAGUAGUC